GAAAGGAUGUAUUUAUCAUCAUCACCAUCAUCAUCAUCCUGUGUACUCAUCACCUUCUCCAUUUUACCAUCAUUGCCUGCUGAACCAAUGGCAAUACAAUCACUUGCGCAAACACACACACACACACACACACACACACACACACACACACAAUGUUACAAUAUGUUUUAAUGUUCACACUAAGUGCCUGUCUCCUGUCUGUCCCUAAAGGAUGGGAUCCUGGUGGGGGCACCGGGGGCCUACGACUGGAAUGGAGCCGUCCUGAAGGAGACCCGACAGGGGAAGGUGGUUCCACCCAAGUCCUCCUACUCACAGGAAUUCCCAGAGGAGCUGAAGAACCACGGCGCCUACCUAGGUGAGGGAGGAAUUGACGAUCUAAAGGAUUGGUCACAGAGGGGUUUGGUUUGGGUAGAGCUAUAGACUCCUCUCCCUGAUCCUCUCUUUGCCCUUCAUCCUCUGUCCACCAUCCUCUCUCUGUCCUUCAUCCUCUCUCUGUCCUUCAUCCUCUCUCUGUCCUUCAUCUUCUCUCUGUUCUUCAUCCUCUCUCUGUUACUCAUCCUCUCUCUGUUACUCAUCCUCUCUCUGUUCCUCAUCCUCUCUCUGUUCCUCAUCCUCUCUCUGUUCCUCAUCCUUUCCCUGUCCUUCUGUCUCUCUCUGUCCCUCAUCCUCUCUCUGUCCAUCAUUCUCUCUCUGUCUUUCAUCCUCUCUCUGACCCUCAUCCACUCUCUGACCCUCAUCCUCUCUCUGACCUUCAGCCUCUCUCUGUCCUUCAGUCUCUCUCUGUACUUCAGCCCCCUUCUGUCCUUCAGCCUCUCCAUGUCCUUCAGCCUCUCUCUGUCCUCUCUCUGUCCCUCAUCCUCUCUCUGUCUCUUCAUCUUUACUGUCUCUACAGUCUACUGUUCACCAUCUCAUCUCCUCUCUCUUCAUCUUUACUGUCUCUACAGUCUAACUGUUCACCAUCUCAUGCUCGUCUCUCGUCUCUCAUCUUUACUUAACUGCCUCGACAGUCUACUGUUCACCAUCUCAUCUCCUCUCUCCCUUCAUCUUUACUGUCUCGACAGUCUACUGUUUCCCAUCUCACUCUCUCUCUUCAUCUUACUGUCUCUACAGUUCUACUGUUCACCAUCGCAUCUCCUCUCUCUUCAUCUUUACUGUCUCUACAGCUACUGUUCACCAGCUCAUCUCUCUCUCUCUCUUCGCUCAUCUUUACUGUCCUCUUACAGUCUAACUGUUUCACACCAUCUCAUCUCCUCUCUCUUCAUCUUUACGUCUCGUACAGUCUACUGUUCACCAUCUCAUCUCCUCUCUCCUCUACUGCACUUACUGUCCUCUACAGUCUA
rnacentral:lncRNA from 1 species